rnacentral:rRNA from 1 species
AUGCUGGAGGUAUCAGAAGUGCGAAUGCUGACAUAAGUAACGAUAAAGCGGGUGAAAAGCCCGCUCGCCGGAAGACCAAGGGUUCCUGUCCAACGUUAAUCGGGGCAGGGUGAGUCGACCCCUAAGGCGAGGCCGAAAGGCGUAGUCGAUGGGAAACAGGUUAAUAUUCCUGUACUUGGUGUUACUGCGAAGGGGGGACGGAGAAGGCUAUGUUGGCCGGGCGACGGUUGUCCCGGUUUAAGCGUGUAGGCUGAUUUUCCAGGCAAAUCCGGAAAAUCAAGGCUGAGGCGUGAUGACGAGGCACUACGGUGCUGAAGCAACAAAUGCCCUGCUUCCAGGAAAAGCCUCUAAGCAUCAGGUAACAUCAAAUCGUACCCCAAACCGACACAGGUGGUCAGGUAGAGAAUACCAAGGCGCUUGAGAGAACUCGGGUGAAGGAACUAGGCAAAAUGGUGCCGUAACUUCGGGAGAAGGCACGCUGAUAUGUAGGUGAAGUCCCUCGCGGAUGGAGCUGAAAUCAGUCGAAGAUACCAGCUGGCUGCAACUGUUUAUUAAAAACACAGCACUGUGCAAACACGAAAGUGGACGUAUACGGUGUGACGCCUGCCCGGUGCCGGAAGGUUAAUUGAUGGGGUUAGCGGUAACGCGAAGCUCUUGAUCGAAGCCCCGGUAAACGGCGGCCGUAACUAUAACGGUCCUAAGGUAGCGAAAUUCCUUGUCGGGUAAGUUCCGACCUGCACGAAUGGCGUAAUGAUGGCCAGGCUGUCUCCACCCGAGACUCAGUGAAAUUGAACUCGCUGUGAAGAUGCAGUGUACCCGCGGCAAGACGGAAAGACCCCGUGAACCUUUACUAUAGCUUGACACUGAACAUUGAGCCUUGAUGUGUAGGAUAGGUGGGAGGCUUUGAAGUGUGGACGCCAGUCUGCAUGGAGCCGACCUUGAAAUACCACCCUUUAAUGUUUGAUGUUCUAACGUUGGCCCCUGAUCGGGGUUGCGGACAGUGUCUGGUGGGUAGUUUGACUGGGGCGGUCUCCUCCUAAAGAGUAACGGAGGAGCACGAAGGUUGGCUAAUCCUGGUCGGACAUCAGGAGGUUAGUGCAAUGGCAUAAGCCAGCUUGACUGCGAGCGUGACGGCGCGAGCAGGUGCGAAAGCAGGUCAUAGUGAUCCGGUGGUUCUGAAUGGAAGGGCCAUCGCUCAACGGAUAAAAGGUACUCCGGGGAUAACAGGCUGAUACCGCCCAAGAGUUCAUAUCGACGGCGGUGUUUGGCACCUCGAUGUCGGCUCAUCACAUCCUGGGGCUGAAGUAGGUCCCAAGGGUAUGGCUGUUCGCCAUUUAAAGUGGUACGCGAGCUGGGUUUAGAACGUCGUGAGACAGUUCGGUCCCUAUCUGCCGUGGGCGCUGGAGAACUGAGGGGGGCUGCUCCUAGUACGAGAGGACCGGAGUGGACGCAUCACUGGUGUUCGGGUUGUCAUGCCAAUGGCACUGCCCGGUAGCUAAAUGCGGAAGAGAUAAGUGCUGAAAGCAUCUAAGCACGAAACUUGCCCCGAGAUGAGUUCUCCCUGACUCCUUGAGAGUCCUGAAGGAACGUUGAAGACGACGACGUUGAUAGGCCGGGUGUGUAAGCGCAGCGAUGCGUUGAGCUAACCGGUACUAAUGAACCGUGAGGCUUAACCUUACAACGCCGAAG